AUCUGAACUGCAGCGGUGGCAGUAACCCUGGAAAACAACAAAGGCAAUAUGGACAAUCUCCAUACAUUAGUAUGUCCCUUGUAUUAACUACAUCCAAAUGAUGAAUGCCAUUUGCUGAUGGGAGACAGCUGCUUUAAGUUAGGUCUUGCUAGGUCAAUUUUCAUGAUUAACCAGCCAUUAUUUAAUUUAAGGAAAGAUAUUGCAGUUGCACCAUAAAAGGCUUUGUGCUGCAGGCUAUGCAUAAACUGUUAAAGGGGUUAUCCCAGGAAAAGUAAUACUAUGCAAUGAACAGGGCAUUUCAAAUUACUUACAAUAUUAUAAGUUUUUUUUUUUUUUAUGUACAUUACAUUUUCUUCUUUGGUUGCGCCCCCUGCCGUUUAUCCUCCUGGUCCAUCUUCUCUCGCAUUCAGAGGUGGACUAACAUGCUCAGUAGCUUCCCAGCUCCCUUCACCUCCCCUCAGCGCUGACGUAAUGAUCUCAGAGAACCUAGUGGCCCAAACAUAUGUUACUCAUUCAUCCCUACUUCUAAAUAUGUAGCUAUAUCUCAGUGGAGAAAGAAAUUGUGGGGGCAUUGCACACCAUAUGUAUCUCUAGAACUAUAUGUCAGGGAUUAUUUUGUAUGCAAGGGAGGAAGGGGUUAAUAGCAGCUAACUGCAAUGCAUCCUGGGAGAUGCUUGAUGAGCUGCUGCCCACCCACAAAAAGGGAAGAAAGUCCUCUGCCUAAGGCUAGUUUCACAUCUGCGGCUGUCUUCUCUGGUAGUCUGUUCUGGUCUGUCCUGCUGGAAUUCUCCAGAUCCGGCAUUGCCAGAUACUACCGUCUGCCCGCCAGACCUCUUUGAAUAUAAUGGGGCCUGGCAUAGAUCCAGCUGCUACCCAGCAAAUAUGCGCAGAAUCGUCUGGACAAUUGUUGGGCCGAUUCCCGGCAUUCUCUGCCAGGAUGAGUUAAAAAAAUAAAAAUAAAAAGGUUUUAGAAUUAGUGGGACAACCCCUCUAACAAUCUACUGACUGUAAGAAUAGCUGUAAAGCAAGGCUUCAAUACCAAAAUAUAGGCAUCUUGACAAGAGCGAGUGACAAAAAUAGUCAGUUUAUGCAGUUUGCAGCAGCAAUAUACAGUAUCUUUACAAGAAAAAAUGGCUUAUCAACCACAUUGAAAACCGUAACAUAGAAAGUUUUACAAUUAUAGUUUUUUUCAUUGAAAUGGAAGGUACACUAAGCAUUUCCACUGGACUGUAAAAUACAUUUUAAAGCAGACAUUCUAUAUUAUUGUCUGUAUUAGACAUGUGAUCUCUUUACUUCUCAUUUAUUCAAGUCUUCCAUCAAAGUCAUAGAUUUUCAAUGGUGAGGAUAUUGUAAUGCCCUCUCAACAGUGGUUACUUAGCAAUUGUAUGCAUCAGCUUAUACAGUAUAAUGGUUCAAGCCAGAAUAUGGUACAAUCAUGUAUUUAGCACUAUACAUGGGUCUUCAGAUCUCUCGUGUCAUCUUAAGGUAUGAAACUAAAUGGUUUUCUGGGUCUCCGUUUGCGUUUGUCAUAAUACACACAGAACCCAAGAAAUGGGAGGCAAAACAUGCAUCUACUAAUGCUUCAGUCAAUGGUCAAAUGUGUUGACUAGGCCACAGUGAUGAGCGCUAAAAUAUAUCCUUCAAGUCUACUAAGGCUAUGGGAACAAUGGAAACCAAUGGCGUGGUACAGAAAAAAAAAUUAUAACAUUAAAAACUUUAGUAAUAAAUACCCUUUAACUCCAGGGAUUCUUUAAUUACUGAUCACCAUUGGAAGAAGCUGGUUCUUCUACUGUUUAUUCAACUAGUUAGCUAGGGUUUUUCCAGGAUCAGGACAGUCAUGGCAUAGCCUCGGGAUAUGCCAUCAAUAGCAGAUCAGUGGGGGUCCAACUCUCAGCAACCCACCGAUCAGCUGUUUACCCUUUAACCUUGAAGAGGCCACCGCUGAUCAGCAGGAGUGCUAAGACUCAGACCCCCACUGAUGUCCUGAGGGUACGCCAUCAAUAUCCUGAUCUUGGAAAACCCUUUAUCCACUAGCACAGCACACACUUUGUAACAAAAGUCUGCCUGUCGGCUCCAUAGGUCAUAGAGCUAGACAGAAAACACAAGUGCAGGGUCAAGGUUCUACCUAUACCUUCCCUGGGUUGCCAAACCACAUGGCUGUACUAUAGGGGUUUGAGGUUUUGUCUGGUUUAUUUACAAGCUGAUUAUUUUUUUUGUUAACUUUUAUGGGGGCUAAACUUUUAGAACGAUCUAAUUAUGAAGGAAAGAAGCCACUAUUAACCUUAUGCACCAUUCAUGUACUUUGCUAUGUUGUUGGCUGCAUUCAGGGAACUAAGUACAAUAGAAAUGAAAUUUAUAUGAAAAAGCUAUAUUGAACAAAAAAAACAUGUAAUUUGUGACAAUAUUCGUAUGAUUACAAAGGGCAACAAAAACCCUUAUCAUACAUGGCAAAAAAUUCAGGACCAUGAAGCAUUUCAGCAAAACUUCAACAUCCAGCCAAGUCUAAGAUCUAUGUUCCCCGAUACUAUUCCCAAUCCUCCAUGGUGGAAGGGAAGAGACAACUACUAUGGUGUCCACAAAUAGGCACUUUCAUUGGGUGCAACUUUUCUUUAGGUAACAAAACUGAAGAUGGACGCCUUUUACACUGUCCACAGCGAUGCAAAGUACAAAUGGUGCAGCGUGAAUAUAAGCGCCUUCCUUUCUAAUGCCAGUAGUAAAACAAGGUCUAACAACUUCAAAGCCAUACAAACUUCUAUUUUAGCUAUAGUUUUCUUAGGACAUAUAAUGAACACCUCAGAAGCCAUUGCCUGUAGGUUGCAUUUGCAGACAAACGAUUGCUUUUAGCUUAAUUCCACAGACAAGAAAAAGAAGCACAUAAAGAACAUUUCAAGGGCUAUUGUAUUGCAAAUCUUCCCACAUAAAACUAUAUACCGGUAUAGGACUAUGGUCAAGGUCAUUAUAUUGUACAUAGGCUGAAGUAGGCAUGCAAGCCAUAAAAAUACAGGGUCACUUUUUAACAAAUGGUGGUGUGCCUUUUUCUUUGAAUAAUUAUACUCUGAACACUGUACAUAUCCUUACAUAUUAAAAGUUUAAUGCAAUCGCUUGCCAGUAUUGCUGAAUACAUGACAAACCAAACAAAUCCUGAAAAGAAAAACAUACAAAAAUAUUACUGUACAGAGAUGCAGAUUCAUGAUAUAUCAUAUACUCCAGACCCAAACAGUCAUGGUUCCAGUAUCAUUUUCAUCAUUUGCGGGCCAGUAUUGGAGUUUUUAACCCAUUACGCACAGUCUACAGACAAUGAUUUAGGCAAGAUAUUAAAGGGGUUCUCCGUCAACAAUAAAACCUCCCCAAAGGUGUUCAAAUAAUAAAAGAUCAUACACUCACCAUAGUCCUUUACAGGCUGCAGCUGCAACAUAGCUGUAAGGGUGCAUUCACACGACCGUAUGUAUUUUACGGUCCGCAAAACACGCAUACCAUCCAUGUGACAUCUGCAUUUUUUUGUACUGAAGUAAAUUGGGCCGAAGUCCGCAUUUGCGGUCAAGAAUUGGAUACGUUCUAUCUAUUGCGGAACAGACAUACAGAUGUGUAAAGCACACGGAUGUUUUCUGCAUUCUGUUCGCAUCGUCACCUCCGUUCCGCAAAAGAUAGAACAUAUCUUCUACUUUGCUGCAAAACGCGGACUGUGGACCCAUUGAAGUCAAUGGGUUUGCAACGAAACGCAGACACUACACAGACUACAUCCAUACAUUGCAGAUCCGCCGACCGUAAAACACAUAUGACCAUGUGAAUGCAACCUAAACAGCACGCGACCACUGCGGUCAAUCACUGAGCUCAGCAGUAUACGGCACAAGACAGCUGAAGCCAGUGAUUGGCUGCAGUGGUCAUGUUCUGUAUAUGGCUGUGACCACUGCAGCUUGUAAACAAAGACCGGAGGGGAGUUUAUGUUCUUCCACAUCUAAGGUCUUUGGGGAGGUUUUAAUAAGAACCUGGACGCCCCCUUUAAGAAGAUGAACACUGCAUCUAAAAGAAUGGCUUAUCCACUGACGCCAAUGUCGCAGUGACCUCAAUAUCAUGCUAUUACAAGCAACAUUCAGAAGGUGCCUACUCAAGAGAUAUUGCUUUGGAAUCUCAACAAAUGUAGUGACUGAACUGGACUAUUUUCCGUGGUAACAUAAUACAAAAUCAUUAAUGCUCACAAAAAAAAUAAAAAAUAAAAACCCUUAGCUACCCAUAGGGGCAUGUUUACAUGACCCCAGUAUACUACUAAGCAAGAGACAUACACACAAUGAAAUGUUAGACAUGACUGAAAAAAAAUGUACAUGAAUGUAAUAUACAGAAUUCAUAGUCUGAGACAGUCAGGAAAGACCUAGCACUCUUGUGCCACUGUCAAGUCACAUAUGCAGAGUGACAGUAACAUGAAAGCACGUCUGGGACAGAGAAUGUGUGGCAAGAAAAUGGCAUUAGCAAUGGCUCAGUCAAGGAUAAACUUCUUUUCUGCUUUUUAACCUUCGCAUUCUGUGGUUGAACUUGAAAAUCAACCGAUACAACAAAAGAUUGUGAAAAAUGAGCAAAACAUGAGGUAAAGUUUCCCUCUCCUUGAUUCAGGUUCAUAAAGUCCACAUAUACACAUUUGUCAGCAAAUAUUAUCAUAUGCAGAUUUCCAUUUUAGCAUAUGGGAAUAAAGCAGCGCAGAAGUAGUCCGCCGAUGACCAUUUGUUUUUAGGAGAAAUGGACAUUUCUAUACUGCUUUCUGGGGAAUAGGAAGAGGAAAAGAAAAUGAAAUAAAAUCACAGCUGGCCCACAAUCAGGCACAUAUAGAUGUUGAAUCAGUGGCUAGAUGAAGGUGCGCCAUGCGCAAAACACGUAAGCGUGGGGACAUCAAGGAGUUUUAACUAGUAGUAGUUAAAGUUAUAUUUCAUUGUCAGGUGCUGGGUUCUAUGUAGAUUUAUGGUUACAUAAAAAGUUGGCGUGAUUUAUUCUCACAUUCUCAAUUUUACCAGUGAUGGCCUAACCUCAGCAUAGGCCAUCAAUAUCUGAUCAGCGGAGGUCCAACCUUGCACCCCAUCAAUGUGCUGAUUUGGGGUAGCUUUGUCGCCAAAACUACACCGCUUUAUCCAUGGGGCUGGUUACUGCAGUGCUGCGGUAACCAGCUCCGUCCACUACACAAUAGACGGAGCCACAUAGUUCCACAGCUAAUCAAUGGGGUGCUGGGACAUUAUACAUCGAGAUAUUGAUGGCCUCAUACAUAAGAAAGAUUUUCUUGAAUCUGCUACCUCGUUCUUACCCUCUCACUUGUCCCCAACAACCUCCCUCAUAGUCAGCAUUAAGAAACUGAAGCCUGCAUGAUAGAACAUGACAA